rnacentral:tRNA from 1 species
GGAGAGGUCGCAUAGUCCGGCCUAGUGCGCGCGCCUGGAGAGCGCGUAUACCGCAAGGUAUCGAGGGUUCGAAUCCCUCCCUCUCCGCCA